rnacentral:rRNA from 1 species
UGCACGUCGAAUCGGAAAGGCCCCUUCGGGGGGUACUCGAGUGGCGAACGGGUGAGUAACACGUGGGUGAUCUGCCCUGCACUCUGGGAUAAGCCUGGGAAACUGGGUCUAAUACCGGAUACACCCUUCUGGUUGCAUGGCUGGGAGGGGAAAGCUUUUGCGGUGUGGGAUGGGCCCGCGGCCUAUCAGCUUGUUGGUGUGGUGAUGGCCUACCAAGGCGACGACGGGUAGCCGGCCUGAGAGGGUGUCCGGCCACACUGGGACUGAGAUACGGCCCAGACUCCUACGGGAGGCAGCAGUGGGGAAUAUUGCACAAUGGGCGCAAGCCUGAUGCAGCGACGCCGCGUGGGGGAUGACGGCCUUCGGGUUGUAAACCCCUUUCAGUAGGGACGAAGCGUGGAGUGACGGUACCUACAGAAGAAGCACCGGCCAACUACGUGCCAGCAGCCGCGGUAAUACGUAGGGUGCGAGCGUUGUCCGGAAUUACUGGGCGUAAAGAGCUCGUAGGUGGUUUGUCGCGUUGUUCGUGAAAACUCACAGCUUAACUGUGGGCGUGCGGGCGAUACGCGCACCACUAAGAGUACUGCAGGGGAGACUGGAAUUCCCUGGUUGUAGCGGUGUAAU